ACGCACCUCACGCCAGUUCUAUCUGCUGCUGUCUUCACUCUCGCCUUCUACCCAACACCCGGAGGAAGGGCGGGAGACUCCUGGUGGUGAGAGAAGAUGACCCCACGUACCUUUACCUCGCUGGUCAACCUCUUGACCUCUCUCGUGUUAGUUGUGACGUCAUCAGUACCAACCGUGACGGACACAGGUCAAAGGUCAACCCCUGAUGAGAGCACUGGACACCAUCAUCAUCAUGGCGUACCAGAACACACAUACACCCAUAGAGACGGUCCUCGGGUGGACAUGGCGCAUUCAGGAAACGUGUCUUCAGUGCUGGGAAGGACAGCCUCUCUCCGUUGCCGUGUCCUUCAUCGUGGCAACAAGACGGU
rnacentral:lncRNA from 1 species